rnacentral:lncRNA from 1 species
GUGUGUGUGUAUGUGUGUGUUUUUUUCUCUCUCAUGAUUCCUUAUCUAAUGCAAAAACAACUUUACUAAAGUGCAAGGAGCUUGCAAGAAACGAUAAAAGAAGAUCCCCUUUCUAAUCCUAAAAUCUACCAUUUAUUGCAAGCCUAAAAAACUGGUGAAAUCUCUUUUUUUUCUUCUAUUUUAUAUUUGCUUAAGUUCUUUGGUUUGUGUGUUUUAUUAUAUGGUGGCUAAAGGAUUUCAUAAGUCUUGAACUAUAGUUUCUAAUUUCAUACAAUUUGUGUAUUUUUUUUUGCCACUUUUUUAGAAGUUGUCACCGAACAUUCAAGGUAAGCAACAGUUUCUAGCAAUUAUUUGGUUAUUGUGGCUAUAGAGAGGAAUGAGGGCCAUGAUUCAUGGUUAAACUCAUAUACAUAUUUCCAUGGAUGUUAAUUUCAUCUUGAUUUUUCAUGCAUUUUUGUUUUUUGAUUUCAUAUUGAGAUUGCUUUGGUUUAUUAUUUUUGGAUACAUAAAUAAAUGAUUAUGUUGUUUUGUCAUUGUUUCUUUUGAAAUAUAAAAUGUUUUUGGUAAUUUAUUAAUAUGGUUUUGUUGGUUUGAAUGUAGGUGGAAGUCAUAGCACUCCAUCCAAAGAUGGAUAAAGGUAAGUUACUACUUCUAAUGCAUUUUAUUUGAUAGGUUUUUCUAUAGUUUCUACUUUCUACUAUCCCUACCUAACCAUGAGUAUAGGUCUGUGCAAUGAUUUCACCAAAUUGAUAUUAUCAACAAGGGUACCUAUGUGUUUUUGGAAUUGUAUGUAUGUUAUUAGUGAAAAACUAUCAAGGAACAAAUGAAAUUUUUUUUGUUAUCAUUUUCAUAUUUUCAGAAAGUAACUUAGGUCAUGAUUGGUUGCCUUGGGGAUUUUAUUCUGAUAGUUGGAAUUUGAAUUCCUUCUGUGAUUUUGACUAUUUUACCCCUAUUGAUUAUUGUUGCUUGGUUGCCGCCCUUAUAUUUUUUUUUUGCCCUUGGUUAUUUUUUAGACUAACAUUAAAGAUGGUGGACAUGGUAGAGCUCAUUGUUGUCAUAAUUUUAGGGUAUGUUUUAAUUUGGUCCAUUUUGCCCCUUGUUUUUUCUUUGGUUUUGAAGUUAAAUAGGAGAACAUAUUGAACCAGGUCAAUCUUGAUUUUCAUAGUAAAUAGUGGUUUUGCAUAAUAAAUAAUAAGUAUGACUUCAAGUUCUGCUAAUAAGCCCAAAAUAGACUUCAAAUUCCAAAAUCACCACGUUAGA